rnacentral:rRNA from 1 species
AUUGAACGCUGGCGGCAGGCCUAACACAUGCGAGUCGAGCGGAUGAAGGGAGCUUGCUCCUGGAUUCAGCGGCGGACGGGUGAGUAAUGCCUAGGAAUCUGCCUGGUAGUGGGGGAUAACGUCCGGAAACGGGCGCUAAUACCGCAUACGUCCUGAGGGAGAAAGUGGGGGAUCUUCGGACCUCACGCUAUCAGAUGAGCCUAGGUCGGAUUAGCUAGUUGGUGGGGUAAAGGCCUACCAAGGCGACGAUCCGUAACUGGUCUGAGAGGAUGAUCAGUCACACUGGAACUGAGACACGGUCCAGACUCCUACGGUAGGCAGCAGUGGGGAAUAUUGGACAAUGGGCGAAAGCCUGAUCCAGCCAUGCCGCGUGUGUGAAGAAGGUCUUCGGAUUGUAAAGCACUUUAAGUUGGGAGGAAGGGCAGUAAGUUAAUACCUUGCUGUUUUGACGUUACCAACAGAAUAAGCACCGGCUAACUUCGUG